rnacentral:rRNA from 1 species
UGCAUGGUUGUCGUCAGCUCGUGUCGUGAGAUGUUGGGUUAAGUCCCGCAACGAGCGCAACCCUUGUCUUUAGUUGCCAUCAUUAAGUUGGGCACUCUAGAGAGACUGCCAGGGAUAACCUGGAGGAAGGUGGGGAUGACGUCAAAUCAUCAUGCCCCUUAUGCUUAGGGCUACACACGUGCUACAAUGGGUAGUACAGAGGGUUGCCAAGCCGUAAGGUGGAGCUAAUCCCUUAAAGCUACUCUCAGUUCGGAUUGUAGGCUGAAACUCGCCUACAUGAAGCUGGAGUUACUAGUAAUCGCAGAUCAGAAUGCUGCGGUGAAUGCGUUCCCGGGUCUUGUACACACCGCCCGUCACACCACGGGAGUUGGAGACGCCCGAAGCCGAUUAUCUAACCUUUUGGAAGAAGUCGUCGAA